UCGAGGGGCAGCGGGGAGCAAGCUUGCUUGCUCUGCCGGCGACCGGCGCACGGGUGAGUAACACGUAUGCAACCUGCCCUCCGCAGGGGGAUAACCCGGAGAAAUCCGGACUAAUACCGCGUGGUACACUUGUGGGGCAUCCCACGGGUGUUAAAAGGAAGUGAUUCCGGCGGAGGAUGGGCAUGCGGCGCAUUAGCUGGUUGGCGGGGUAACGGCCCACCAAGGCGACGAUGCGUAGGGGUUCUGAGAGGAAGGUCCCCCACACUGGUACUGAGACACGGACCAGACUCCUACGGGAGGCAGCAGUGAGGAAUAUUGGUCAAUGGGCGGGAGCCUGAACCAGCCAAGUCGCGUGAGGGAAGACGGUCCUAUGGAUUGUAAACCUCUUUAGGCGGGGAGCAAUGCCGGGCACGCGUGCCCGGAGGGAGAGUACCCGCAGAAUAAGCAUCGGCUAACUCCGUGCCAGCAGCCGCGGUAAUACGGAGGAUGCGAGCGUUAUCCGGAUUUAUUGGGUUUAAAGGGUGCGUAGGCGGAUUUUUAAGUCAGCGGUAAAAUGUCCGGGCUCAACCCGGGCCGGCCGUUGAAACUGGGGAUCUUGAGUGGGCGAGAAGUAUGCGGAAUGCGUGGUGUAGCGGUGAAAUGCAUAGAUAUCACGCAGAACUCCGAUUGCGAAGGCAGCAUACCGGCGCCCGACUGACGC
rnacentral:rRNA from 1 species